UUUAUUUGUCUCAGAGAUUAAUGUUUUCAGACGGCUGUCAUCAGUUAUGACUACCUCACCACUCUCAGACAUGUCCAAUAUGGGACAGACGACAGAGUAGUACUGGGCUGUCAAAUCAAAGGUUCACAGGCGUUCAGCAGAAAGGCUCCAGGACUUGUGUUGCUUGAACAGAGGCACCUUCAUUAAAGUAGGGCAGCACCUGGGAGCCCUGGACUUCCUCCUUCCUGAGGAGUACACCAGCACGCUGAAGGUCCUGCACAGCAGAGCCCCUCAGAGCCGUAUGGAGGAGAUCAGGCAGAUCAUAUGAGAAGACCUGAGAAAUAAGUUUAUCCUGCAGGUUGUCCUCUGGUUGUUUCCAGACUUUGCUUUUAUGUGACUGGUGGAAGAAGCCAAGAAUAACAUGCCUCUAGAGCUGGACUUCCUCAAUGAGGGACAAAACGUUGAGAAAAUAGCAUACAUGUUCAAGCAGUUUAAGUUU